UGUCUGGGGCAACUCAGGCGGUUAGCGGCGGACGGGUGAGUAACACGUGGGUGACCUACCUUGGGGAUGGGGAUAACGGCUCGAAAGGGCCGCUAAUACCGGGUACGCUCCUUGGGGCGCAAGCCUGAAGGAGGAAAGGGGGCGGCAACGCUCCCGCCCUGAGACGGGCCCGCGGCCCAUUAGCUAGUUGGCGGGGUAAGAGCCCACCAAGGCGAUGAUGGGUAGCCGGUCUGAGAGGACGAUCAGCCACACUGGGACUGAGACACGGCCCAGACUCCUACGGGAGGCAGCAGUGGGGAAUCUUGCGCAAUGGGCGAAAGCCUGACGCAGCGACGCCGCGUGAGGGAGGAAGGCCUUCGGGUUGUAAACCUCUUUCAGGAGGGACGAAGCUACUCGGGUUAAUAGCCCAGAGGGUGACGGUACCUCCAGAAGAAGCCCCGGCUAACUACGUGCCAGCAGCCGCGGUAAUACGUAGGGGGCAAGCGUUGUCCGGAUUUACUGGGCGUAAAGAGCGUGUAGGCGGCCAAGCAGGUCCGUUGUGAAAACUGGAGGCUUAACCUCCAGACGUCGACGGAAACCGCGUGGCUAGAGUCCGGAAGAGGAGAGUGGAAUUCCUGGUGUAGCGGUGAAAUGCGCAGAUAUCAGGAAGAACACCAAUGGCGAAGGCAGCUCUCUGGGACGGUACUGACGCUGAGACGCGAAAGCGUGGGGAGCGAA
rnacentral:rRNA from 1 species